AGAGCCAUUUUUCUCGACCUGGGAUGUCCCAGGGACGUCCCACAGGCACGUCUGUCCUGGAAGCUCAGGGCACAGGCGGUGGAGCGGAGGCCUCCUGGUGGGGCGAGCCCAGGACCGGGGCCCCAGGUCCCCUCUUUAAGUUAUUUUUCCUUCACCGCUACUAAUUGAGCGCUUUUCUGAUGGGCUGUCUCAGCUGCACGCAAGGCAGGGAUUUGGGGAGGGCUGCGCCGGGGAGAGGAGCCCUCCGUUCUCCAGGCCACGCCGUCACGUGGCAGGAAGUGUCGUGCGGUGCUCUGGAAAACUCCACCGUGAAAUAUGUCAUUUCCCAAAUCUCAGAAACAGAGACGGGAGGGCUGAGGAAGAAAUUCUUUUCUGGAUUAGGCUUGGAAACCAGAUCCAAUGCAUCCUUGGCUUUUACGGCCGUGAGUCGCCAAAGCUUUCCAGAGGCCAAUGAAAACAAACGGAGACCUCCAGUAAAAGCUGUGUCGAAUGGUGUUAAUAUUAAAUACACUCGGGCGCAUACCGAUAAUGAAAUACCAAGUCAGGGAAAGAGUUGCUUAAAUAUAUAUCCCUUCUAUGAGCAACAGCUGUACCGUUUCUUUAAAAAAACAACCUGGAUGCAAUGCUUGGAGGAGAGACUAAGGUGCCGGAUCUCGCUCCCGGGGGAUGAGGAGUGGCCAGUGACCUGAGGAGCUCCCACCCCCGCUACGAGCUUGCCUGCGCAUGGUACAGGGAACAGGAGCUUCUCUCCUGUCAUCAAAUAUUUGGCUCCCUUCUUCUCACAUCCAGGACUGAAGGUGAGUGGAUCGAGGCUGUUCCGCCCCCUGCUCCAUUCCUGGAGAGGUGAUGGCUGAGGACUUUGCCUCGAGGAGUCGGAGCCACAGCUGAAGAGGUCGGCACAGAGCGAGGAGCAGCGAGGUGGGCUCCUCAAGUGUCUUGAGGGCAAAUUCUCUGGGAUUUUCCAUGUGGACAGGCAUGUCGCUGCUGACCAGAGGUAAUUCAUUGCUUUUCACCCAAUCUCUGCUCCCUUCUCUGGCCUGCUUGCCCUCCGUCUUCCACAGAGACGUCGACCGGGAGUGGCGAGAGCACGUCCGCUUGUUUCUCCGCUAAGGGACGGCGUCGUGUUUCUGUGUUGGCUGUGGGUCCUUUUAUCCUCGAUUUAAUCUACUGGUCACUGUUUGUUAGUUUAAGGAAGCUCUCUUCUGCUCCCCGUUUGCUGGAGGCGUCUACCAGGAACGUGUGUUGGAUUUUCUCCGUGGGAUGAUCCCAUGGCGCGUUGAGCGCAUGGGUCGCAGUCUCCACUCUUCUGAUGAAGGCCACACCUGAGGUUUGAACCACGUCUCCGGGUCUCAGCAGUGCGACCUUGAAUCUCCCGUGCCUCUGCUCUGUCACUGUGGCCCCUGAGGGUCCCUGCCCUCACCCUAGACGUUUAGGGACUCUUCACUAACAUCACGAGGGCUUGAGCUCCUUUCCCGUGGAUGGAACUUUGGCUCCCAGUGGCAGCAGAGGACAGCCCCCUUGUGCUUCUGCUGUGCCCUCAGCCCAGGUGCCCCCUUGGCUGCUUUUGGGAAGUUUUUGGAGGAAAGAGUGAGCCCAUGAGAAGGUGUCCCCCUGCCCAGGGGGUUCACACCAGGCCACCAGGGGGUUCACACCAGGCCACCAGGGGGUUCACACCAGGCCACCAGGAGGUUCACACCAGGCCACCGGUGGCAGGAGGCCACUCUCCAGGCUGUCACCUUGCUCACUCCACCCUUCUGACAGCGAGCGGUCCUGGGGUCCUGGGGUCUCUUCUCUCCCUGCAGGCACCGUGCCUUCCGCUGAGCCGCCGGGAUUGCUCUGCUCUGGCCUCUGCUUGCCCCGGGGACCAACAAUUGCUCUGGGUUUGAACUUGGUCCCCUUCCUGUUGAAGGGGACAGCAGGCCCCUCCCGGGCGUCCAUGUUUCAAGGUAGAGGCUACGAGUCUCUUCACCAAGUGUCUGCUGUUUCUCAGAAAUGAUGAAUGUGUAAAAUCCUGUCAAAUGCCUCCUGUGCGUCUCUUGAGAUGAUUGUGUUCUUUGCUCUAUUCGUACGGUGGCUGGUAUGUGUGUCUGUCACACGUACACAGUGUGCGUGUGCACGCAUAUUUGUCUGUCUAAAAACGUGGACUGCGUGUGGAGCAAUCACAGGCGUAGAGGGGACUGGGUUUUCAGCCAAGGGGGGUGCGUGGCUCUCCUCCCACCUCCGCCCCGUGCUCUCUGAGUAUCUCAGGGUUCCUCUCGGCCGCAGGCGCACUCCUCCCCGCAGCCCCCAGAAUCGGGACAUCGAGCCCGAGUCCUCGCCGCCUCUCCGCCCACGCCGCUGGAGUUUGCAGAUGUCAACGGCUUUCAGCGGGAAGGGCCCUGCCAGCAUCAGGCAGAGAGAGAGAGAGAGAGAGCGAGCUCCAUUUGCUGUUUCACUCGUGCAGAUGUCCAAGCAGCUGAUUCUGGACCAGAGCUGGGCAUUCAAUCUGGGUUCCCACAGGUGUGGCAGGGACCCAGGCCCCUGAACCAGAACCUGCUGCCCUCCAGAGUGUGAUGAACAGGAAGCCGGAAUCAGGAUUAUAAACAGAUGCAAAGUCUCAGGACAUCUCCAGAGGGGCCAUUUACAAGACCUCACUCGAAAAGCGAUGUGUUGCUACCAAGAAUUACGCCGUUUUCAAGGCUAUUCAAGACUGGCGGGUCAAACCCCCACGUAACUGAUCAAAUGCUGCUGCCGAGGGCCGUUGUGAGUUGCCUAAAGCUGAUGAACAUACAUCAAAAGAUCUUUUAAUUCAAAAAUUGAUUAUUAAAACCACAUUCUCUAAAUUCUCCAUUGAUACUUGUUUUAAUAAGUAAAAUUGCUUGAUCUUUAUUUUUGUGCUAAAAUCUAUUUUCUCAAGCCGAGGGGAUACAUAAUAGAAGUGUGUUGGUCCUAAUAGAUAAAAACCAGCCGUAAUCUUGUGAAUCAGCCACAGUCCGCGCAAUUAGCAAAGAAGGAAUUCUAUCCACAGAAGCCACAAUGAAUCAAAAUGGGGACAAUAUAAGUAAAAAUAAUACAGAACCUAUAGUAGAAAACUGAAAUUUUUCCCCCCAGAAGUCUCGAACAAAUAGCCAUACUGCAUUCUGGAUGGACAGACUGGGCGUGGCUGUGUUUGCGCUUUCUGUCUUGGGUUGUGGGGUUUUCAGGACGUUUCAGAGCGUCGUCUGUCUAUUCCAUCAGCAACUGACGUCUCCGCUGGCGCUGCUGCAGUCACGCACCGUCUCGUGUGGUUUUUAAUUUCUCUGCGCUGUUUCCUGAAACCCAAACAAAGAACACGAUAUGAAACCCAAACAACAAAACGAACAGCAGAGAGACCCUCAUUAAACCCCAAAAUGCGGGUAGGGGUGCCCCUUUGGCCUCAGCAAAGGCGAAGUGUGUGGGGUGCAGCGCUGAAGGGGCCGUUGGCCGGCCCUGUGCUCUGUGCAAGGAGCAGGCACCUCCCUCUGCUGGUGCAGCUGUGGACGCGGCCAGCUGGGCUGAGAGAAGCCUUCUGAGGCUCCCAGACACUGAGCCCCAGCAGGUGUGUCCGGGGGCUGGAGCCUCACUCUGGAGGGGAGACGCCAGAUUGAGCAGAGCAGGUGCGGGAGGGGCAGUGGGGAAGGGCCCUGCGGUGCAGGGGGAGGCUCGAGGGAGCCCUGUCUGGGGAGAAUCACCACAGCUGGACCCCAAGCCCCCGGGACCAAGGCCUGCAGCAGGGCAGGAAGCUCUGACCACGCUUGCCCUGGGGCAGCCGAGUGGCUGCUCAGAGGCCACAACCUGGGCCAUUCCUGGUAACCGUGGAGCCUGGAGGCCUCACUGCUGUCCCGUCCCGUCAAACCCCAUGCAGAGGAAACCUGCUCCUGAUACACUAGAAAAAAAUGUUCCAUUUAAGCAACAUAAACAUGGAUAACCUUAAAAGGAAUGUGAUUAAACACCAAGUUUUAAUUAUUUAUCUUAAAGUCAGAUGACAGAGAGAGAGAUAUCUUCUAUCUGCUGGUUCACUCCCUAAGUGGGUGCAAUAGCCCAAUCUGGGUCCGCCCAAAGCCGGGAUCCAGGAACCACACUGGUGUCCCAUUUGGGUGGUAGGGGCCCAGGUACUUGAGCCAUCAUCUGCUACCUUCCCAGGGGCUUGAAUAGGAAGCUGCACUGGGUGCAGAACAGCUGGGACUCGGAUUGUCACUCUGAUGUGGGCAGCCAAUGUGGCAGGUGGUAACUUAACCCACUGUGCUGCAACACCGGCUCCCCAUGACAUACUUGACAAGAGACACAAAUAUACACUCAAAUAUAUAACACGUAACAGUGACGCACCAGGAAAUGCAAUGACAGGGAUGAAACAAUGUAUUAUUAAAAAUUAGCUGAACUUAAUAGAGAUACUGAUUGGAAAUUUGAAAGAAUAGCACAAAACAGAAUUACGAGAUCUGAGAAAUGGAACAAUGCGAAAUGGAGGAUAUGAGACAUCAGAAAGGCAGUGACAAAAAUCACAAAAAUGUAGAUGACAUAGACAUUUCAGAAGUAGAGAUUUAACCAGAAGAAAAGCAAUAAUGAAUGUGAACACAGAAGACUCAGGUAAGAAACAGGAUAUAAAAGAAAAAUGUCAAGAAAACAUAAUGAAAAUUUGAAAAGUUGAAAAGAAAUGAUAUGGAAAGAAGACAAAGAAGAUCCAAAAUACAUUUAAUUGGUGUCUCCAAAGGUUAAAAAUGGAAGUGAAAGAAUAAAAUAGAACUAUCAGUUUUAAUCUAAUAAAACUUCCCGCGGUGCAUUGGUGAGCAAGUUGACCCGUGAUGGGAAGUCCCAUGGGAGACCCCUCAGACAUGCAAGCAUCCCUGGAGAAUCCAGGGAAAGUCUGAAUGACUUAGGAUCGAAAGCCAGACGGUCACCAAUGUUGUCGGCAGGCAGCACACCUUUAAAGAUUACAAAGAAAAGAAAAAUGACUGGAGGAUUUCACUCCCGAGCCAGCUGUCCUCAAAUAUGGAGGUAGGGACGCGGGGGGACUCAGCUGCUGGGAGCCCGUGCGCCUGCCUCCUCUCGGAUUCCACUAGAGAACUGGCUCCCGCCCGUCAGAUCGCAGUGAGAAAAGUCCAAUGUGAGUGUCAGAGAAGCCGUGGAAUAGGUGUGGCUGUAGAACUGAGAUGGAGAAAGGGCGUAGGGUGGGACACUCCCGUGUCUCCUGCGCCCUGGUGGUGUGGAAACCGUCCACGAAACAACGCAAGUGCCCAGGGGAGAGUGUGGAGAAGCCAGAGGAACCUCACCAGUGGCUCCACACGCAUCAGCUAAGAGAAAAUAAUUCUGCCUGCAGCCGACAAAUCAAGCAGUAGAAUCCUUCGUAUGGGGGCCGGCGCCGUGGCACAGCGAGUUAAUCCUCCGCCUUCACUGCCAGCAUCCCAUAUGGGCGCUGCGCUGAUUUGUGUCCCGGCUGCUCCUCUUCCGAUCCAGCUCCAUGCUGUGGCCUGGGAAAGCAGUGGAAGUUUGCCCAGGUGCCUGGGCCCCUGCUCCCACGUGGGAGACCAGGAGAAGCUCCUGGCCCCUGGGUUCAGAUUGGCGUAGCUCCGGCCAUUGCAGCCACUGGGGGAGUGAACCAGUGGAUGGAAGACCUCUCUCUCUGUCUCUCCCUCUCAACUGUCUGUAGCUCUGCCUCUCAAAUAAAUAAAUAAAAUCUUUUCUUUUAAAGAAUCCUUCGUAUGUCAGCAGUACAGAGAUGACACCAACACUGGUGUCCAGUAGCAGGAGGUGAGGAAGAGGAGGCGGAGGGCAAGAAAGUUGCUGGCUAACGUCUGUUCCCAACAGAGAGCCGGCAUACUGGGUAAAAUUUAAACACAGAAAAUGGUUGGAUUUUCUCACUCCUCACACGUACAAUACAAGUUAUGCGUUUGUAAGAUAAGUCAUGUUGCUUUCUUUUUUGAAAACAUUUAUUUGAAAGACAAAGCUACAGAGAGCAGGAGACAGAGAGAGCUUCCAUCCUCUGGUUCACUCCACAGGGGGCCGGGCCCGGCUGAAGCCAGGAGCUGCUUCUGGGUCUCCCACAUGGGUUCAGGGGCUGAAGCACGUGGGCCAUCUGCUGCUUUUCCCAGGCCAUUAACAGGGAGCUGGAUUGGAAAUGGAGCAGCCGGGACACGAACCGGGGCCCAUAUGGGAUGCUGGCCUUGUAGGUGGCAGCUUAACCCAUUAGGCCACAACGCUGGCUCCAGUCAUUUUGUUUUCUACCGGGUACCUUAGGGCCUGAUUCUCUUGCAAAGUCUGGAUUGAGAUUGCUGAUAAACAUAAUCAAAGAAGAGACCAAGGCUGCUACACAAAGAUAUUGGUAACAAAAGAAGCAGUAUAAGAAACAUCUAAGCCUUCCCAAACACAACAAUAAAUUUCUUCUAAAUUUUUCCUGACAUCUGUCAUCUCAUUCCAGACAUCCCAUAACUUCCGUCUGUUCCUCCAUUUCAUUAUACAGGAUCCUGAAGAGAAAGGUCCCAUAGUAGAAGGCUUUGUGUGCACGUGGGUGUGUAUUACAACAUGUACACACACGCGUGUGUCUACAAGCGUGUAAGUAACCACACGUGUCUAGAGCACUAUGUGAGGGACACAGCAGUAAACACAGGAACUCUGCCUUUCAAAUCAAAUCUUUUUAAAAAUUGUAACAGGUGUCUGAGUGGUUAACAAAGGGAAAAUCAUCUCAGCGCUGUGUCCAAGACAUGCACCUGCCGCACGUCCUUGAGCUAGGGAAAUAGAGGGCUGGGCAGAGGCAGGCACUCACAGAGAGCAGGGGCUGCGUUUGUGUAAUAGAUAAGGUGGGACUCAGACCAACAGCAUUAACGGGGAAAAAGGAGAACAUACGUUACAAUGCUGAAAGCCACAAUUCACAGUGAAGGUGUGCUAAUUAUGAGUUACCUACGCACUAGAUCACGCAGAAGCAGCCUCACAUACGAAACAGAAACCACAGGAGAGCAGAGAAGAAAGAAAGACACACUAGCACAGGAGAGAGAGGGACUGAUGGGACCCCAGGUCCGGGCCAGAGGCGGCUGCAAGCGGAGGGAGUGGCUGCCACAGUCCAGUGGUAUGCAGCAGGCUUCAACAGUGACCUGUGGGGGAGGGGUGGUGGCGUGUGGGAUGAGCCGCCCUGGGGACGCCUGCAGCCCGUAUCCGGUGCUGGUUCGAGUCCCAGCUGCUCCCAGCCAAUCCAGCUCUCUGCGAGUGCCCUUGGGAAGCAGCAGGUGAUGGCUCAAGUACUUCAGUCCAUGCCGGCUGUGUAGAAAACCCAAAUGGAGUUCCUGGUCCAGCCCUGGCUGUGUGGCCAUUUGAGGAAUGAACCAGCGGAUGGAAGAUAGAUAUUUCUCUCUCUCUGCUUUUCAAGUAAAUAGAUAAAUCUUUUUAAAAUGUAGUGAAUAUGGGAGAUUUGGUAGCUAUAAAUCAAAUUCUGUACCCCAUAAUAGGGAACACACCUUCUUCUCCAGUACAUAUUUACAAAAAAUGGACCAUAUACUUGUAUCAGGCUACAAUGAAAACCUCGAUACAUUCCAAAAAAUGUAAGUCAAACAAACCACCCUCACAGAUUAAAUGCAAUAAAAAUAGGAAUUAUUCAGAAAAUAAAACACAAACGGGCACUGCAACCUGAAGAAACAAAACCAUCUAUUUAAAAACUCUUAGGUCAAAGGGAAAAUCAACAAAAUGGCAGAAUUUCUAAAAUUGUAAUAAGGAAAAUGUAGUGUAUCAGAGGCUGUGGGAUACAUCUAGACUUAAAGAAUCAUAUUAUUACGUAGCUGUAUCACCAGAAAUGGAAAUAAAUGAAUUACAUCUUAGGAAACUUCAAAAAAAAUCAUUGAAAAUAGAAUUAAAAGAUGAGUUCAUUUUUGGUGCAAAAGCUUUGGAAUAUGAACACAUGAGUGGUCUUGAAUUCCACCAAAAACGUCCAUUAUAAAAACUCAGUCAUGGAUUUAAAUAUCUCUUGCACCAAAAUAAACAUCUCUUAAACCAGUUUUUCACAAACGUUUUGAAAUACUCGCAUAUAGAACCCAAAAGGUAGACAUGAACAGAUGGAGCCAACAGCAACUCAUAAAGUGCCUGGCGUUCUGGAGUUGGGUAGGGAGACACAGGCGCCCUCCUACCACGGCUGGGGCAGUUCACACUGCGGGAGGAAUCUGCAUCGCGGGCGUGGUGGGAGCUGAGGGAGCUGGGUCUGCGUGUUCGGAGACUUUUCCCUUUCUCUUGUAGAUACUGGUGCUUGCCAGUUUUGUGCAUUUUCUCUAGCCAAUUGUAGAACUCUCAGAAUUUUGCAAAACAAUCCUGUCCAUUUAAUCAGAAGUUAUUUUAAAUUUAUUGGUCCAAAGUUGCUCGCUGUAUUAUCUCAGGAAUUGGCACCGUGCGUGCAGUUGUGUGGUUUUAUGAUUACUAAGGUUCUUUGUUUCCUUUCUUGUUCCUUGAGCAGACUUUCAAAGUCUUGGCUAACUUUAUUGGUCUUUUCCAAGAAUACUUUUGUCUCUGCUGUUCAAAUCUACUCUGAGUGUUGACGUGUUUUAUACUUUGUUAAUUACUUCUUAACUUUCUCCUUUUCGUGUUGUGAAAACAAAACACAGGGAAAGUGAGAAACAAAAGACCAGCCUCACUCUGUGCCUGGCUACGAACUUGGACUUCCCAACACCCAGGACUUCCUACAGUCCCCCAGCCUCUUCCCCUCUCCAGAGGAAACCGGUUUUCUGACUUCUGCGAUAACUUCUUUGCUUUUGUCCGCGCUCCUAGACAGCAUAGUUUAAUUGCUCCUGAUUUUGAUUUUGUUUUCCUUUUUUUGAACUUUGGGCUUGGCGUCAUCCUGGUGGCUCCUUUUAUCCUUCCCAGGUUUGACUCAGCAUCGUUGUGUGCUGGUUUGCUUCUGGUCUUCGACUCUAGAAAUCACAGUGGAUUUGUCUGCUCUGUGGAAGUUUUGCUGUUUGACUGCUCUGCGUGGUGUGGCUCUGUGCUCUCUCGUUCGUUGUCCCGGUGGGGAUGUGUGCGUGAGCUUCUCCAGGGUCUUUACCUCCAACGAGAGCUAAAGAUGGACCACUGGGCCCUGUUUCUGUUUCAGCCUCCUAAGUGAUGCCAGUGGGAUCUCAACACAGGUGGCCCCUGGCUCCCAAGACACCUGCCAAUCCCCCAACUAGGAGGGCAGUGAUUCUAGUGUUGGGGGCUUGGCUGAUCUCUCUGAGUCUGCACUGGCAUUUGCUACGUUAUUGAUAAUUCUUCCAUUCAGUUAAGGAGCUUCAAAGUUCUCCACUGUUUUUGGUUGAUUUUAGGGGAAGGGUUGGUCCAGAUAACUUCAUGUAUGAUUCUAGAAAUAGGAGUCUGCUUCCAUCGGUAAGGAUUUCUUUUUCCUAUUUACUUGAGAGCUGCUGAGUUAUCUUUCUGACUUCUUGAACCGAAUGCUUAGUUCCUUUACUUUUAGUCUUUUUUCUCCGAAAAUGUGCUCAAAGCUUCACAUAUCCUCUGAGGGCUGUUUUGCCUGUGCCCAUGGCUUGGGAUGUGGAAUAUUCUCAUUUUUAAGCUAUUUUCUCUUGCAUUCAUGAGUUUUUCAGAGCUUCUGCCCCAUAUUUUUGAGUAGGUUGACGUUUUGGGGCCAUCUUUCUGUUAUUCAUUUCUAGUUCUGUUGCUUUGGGUUUAGAACAUGCGUUUUCUGUGAUUUCUACUUCUGUGCAAUCUAUGGAGUUUUCUUUAUGCAUUAAAACAGUGGAAAUAUUUUCAAGUAAACCUUCCACAAGUGUAUAAAAAAAAGCAUAAAUUCACGGACAAAGCUCUCUUUGUGGGUUUUCAGUCAAGCAUUUAAGUUUAUUUUUUUUUACAAAGAUUUAUUUAUUUAUUUGCAAGUCAGA